AAUUCGCCCUUAGAGUUUGAUCCUGGCUCAGGACGAACGCUGGCGGCGUGCCUAACACAUGCAAGUCGAACGAAGCACUCGGGUUUACUCGGGUGACUUAGUGGCGGACGGGUGAGUAAUACAUGAGCAACCUGCCCUAAAGAGGGGGACAACAGUUGGAAACGACUGCUAAUACCGCAUGAUGUUAUCGGGAGGCAUCUCCUGGUAACCAAAGAUUUAUCGCUUUAGGAUGGGCUCAUGUCUGAUUAGUUAGUUGGUGAGGUAACGGCUCACCAAGACUGCGAUCAGUAGCCGGACUGAGAGGUUGAACGGCCACAUUGGGACUGAGAUACGGCCCAGACUCCUACGGGAGGCAGCAGUGGGGAAUAUUAGGCAAUGGGGGAAACCCUGACCUAGCAACGCCGCGUGAAGGAAGAAGGCCUUCGGGUUGUAAACUUCUUUUAUGAGGGACGAAACAAAUGACGGUACCUCAUGAAUAAGCCACGGCUAACUACGUGCCAGCAGCCGCGGUAAUACGUAGGUGGCAAGCGUUGUCCGGAUUUACUGGGUGUAAAGGGCGCGUAGGCGGGAUGGCAAGUCAGGCGUGAAAUGCAUAGGCUCAACCUGUGAAUUGCGCUUGAAACUGUUUUUCUUGAGUGUGGGAGAGGUAAACGGAAUUCCUGGUGUAGUAGUGAAAUGCGUAGAUAUCAGGAGGAACACCGGUGGCGAAGGCGGUUUACUGGACCACAACUGACGCUGAGACACGAAAGCGUGGGGAGCAAACAAGAUUAGAUACCCUGGUAGUCCACGCUGUAAACGAUGAAUAAUAGGUGUGGGG
rnacentral:rRNA from 1 species